AUAUCAGACAAAGAAAUCAAACACCUCAACAAGCGAGAUCACAGGUAACAGCUACGGCCUCCAGGUAACAGGCUUUUCACCCGCGGAGGCGACAAGAUAGAGAUGCGAUUUGCGCCGAGAUGAGUGUAAAACAGUAUUGCUAGAGUGAACGAGUACACAGAUGAGAGUGGAAAUUCGCAUUGUAUCACAAAAAUUAUAUAUUUUGAUUUCGAAAUAGGGAAUUAUCGGGAUGCGCUAUGCUGCAAAGAAAAGAAGAAAUGGCGCAUUUGCUUG